CCCUUAGAUGUUCUGGGCCGCACGCGUGCUACACUGAGUGGAUCAGCGGGUCAGGUUGCGCGAAAGCGUUUCCUAAUCUUUAAAUCCGCUCGUGAUGGGGAUUGACGGUUGCAAUUUUCUGUCAUGAACGAGGAAUACCUUGUAAGCGCGGGUCAUCAUCCCGCGCUGAAUACGUCCCUGCCCUUUGUACACACCGCCCGUCGCUACUACCGAUUGAAUGAUUUAGUGAGUACCAGGGACCGAGCGCUUUGGUUGGGUUUCCUUCCCUAGCGCUUGGGAACUGUCGCAAACUUGACCAUUUAGAGGAAGUAAAAGUCGUAACA
rnacentral:rRNA from 1 species